GACGAACGCUGGCGGCGUGCUUAACACAUGCAAGUCGAACGGAAAGGCCCUGCUUUUGUGGGGUGCUCGAGUGGCGAACGGGUGAGUAACACGUGAGUAACCUGCCCUUGACUUUGGGAUAACUUCAGGAAACUGGGGCUCAUACCGGAUAGGAGCUCCUGCUGCAUGGUGGGGGUUGGAAAGUUUCGGCGGUUGGGGAUGGACUCGCGGCUUAUCAGCUUGUUGGUGGGGUAGUGGCUUACCAAGGCUUUGACGGGUAGCCGGCCUGAGAGGGUGACCGGCCACAUUGGGACUGAGAUACGGCCCAGACUCCUACGGGAGGCAGCGGUGGGGAAGAUUGCACAAUGGGCGGAAGCCGGAUGCAGCAACGCCGCGUGCGGGAUGACGGCCUUCGGGUUGUAAACCGCUUUCGCCUGUGACGAAGCGUGAGUGACGGUAAUGGGUAAAGAAGCACCGGCUAACUACGUG
rnacentral:rRNA from 1 species